CAUAGUUGACCCCUCUUGGACCAGGAUCAGUCCGGACCCCUCUUGGACCAGGAUCAGUCCGGACCCCUCUUCUCUCCCCUGUCAGGAUGCACCUGGCCUAUCAGGAGCUCCAGAAGGAAGCUGACGGCUGGCCUGUUUGUUGCCUACGGCGUCAAGAAACUGUCUCCGUAUGUUUGGAGGUGGAGCUGGCCCAGCUGCAGAGGAGCUCCGCCUCCCUGUCCUCUCAGGUCCUGAUGCUCAUACAAGGAGGUGCACGCUCCUCUUUAACUCCUCCCACUCCUCUGUAACUGCUCCCACUCCUAUUUAGCUCCUCCCACUCUUCUUUAACUCCUCCUUCUCUUCCUUUUCCUCCUUCCUUCACUUCACGCUCAUUUAGAUCUCUUUAAAUGUGAGAAUUAAACCGUCGAUAACAGUGAAACCUGCAGGUGUCUUCUGGGUAAUUACAAAAGAACUACUUGGAUUAGUAAAGUCUGGAUUAGUAAAAUCCGGAUAAAUGAAGCCUGUAUUAGUGAAGUUUAUAUUAGUAAUACCUGGAUUAGUAAAGCCUGGAUUAGUAAAACCUGCAUUAGUAAAGCCUGGAUUAGUAAAACCUGGAUUAGUAAAACCUCGAUUAGCAAAACCUGAAUUAGUAAAACCAGGAUUAGUAAAGCCAGGAUUAGUAAAGGCUGGAUUAGUAAAGCCUGGAUUAAUAAAACCUGGAUUAGUAAAGCCUGGAUUAGCAAAACCUGAAUUAGUAAAGCCAGGAUUAGUAAAGCCAGGAUUAUUAAAGCCUAGAUUAGUAAAACUUGGAUUAGCAAAACCUGAAUUAGUAAAGCCAGGAUUAGUAAAGCCUGGAUUAGUAAAACCAGGAUUAGUAAAGCCUGGAUUAGUAAAACCUGGAUUAGUAAAGCCUGGAUUAGUAAAGCCUGGUGCGCCUGCAGGUCACGGAGCUGGCGGGCUCCACCUCUCGGGUCUCUGAGUUGUUGGAAGUGUUUGAAACCUGAAGCAAAACCUGUUAAUAUUAAUCUGAUUUAUUGAAGGGACCGUAAUGUCUAGGUUCCGGCAAAACAUCAGAAGAGACGCACUUUGCCUGUGAGGAGACAGAGAUAUUGUGUCUGCAGCUCAAGGGCAGCUACACGCCUGACAGUAUUCAACAUUCACACUUGUUAUCAAUAUUUACACAUACCAAGAGGGGCGCACGGCCAACAGACAGCCCCCACCCGGGGGUACGAGGGAUGGGAUAUGCACCUGUGACGAGAUCUGGGUAUAAAAGAUGGAAUCUUGAUGUGCUAAAGGGGGUGUGGUUUCCGGGCUUCAACUUGCAUGUUGAGGAGAGCUCCCCGUGGUUUGUACUUUGCUUUUGAUCAGUGAAUAAACGUCUCCCUAAAGGAGAGAACUACA